rnacentral:snRNA from 1 species
ACACUUACCUGGUAGGGGAGAUACCAUGGUCAUGAAGGUGGUUUCCCCAGGGCAAGGCUCAGCUAUUGCAUUCCAGAUAUGCUGGCCCCUACGACUUCUCCAAAUGUGGGAAACUGGAUAAUUUGUUGUCAUGGGGGGAUUGCAUUGGUGUUUUCCUGUG